CACGUAGGAGGCGAGCGUUAUCCGGAUUCACUGGGCGUAAAGCGCGUGCAGGCGGUUUGGUAAGUUGGGCGUGAAAGCUCCCGGCUCAACUGGGAGAGGUCGUUCAAUACUACCAGACUAGAGAGCAGAAGGGGAAGAUGGAAUUCCGGGUGUAGUGGUGAAAUGCGUAGAUAUCCGGAGGAACACCAGUGGCGAAGGCGAUCUUCUGGUCUGUUUCUGACGCUCAGACGCGACAGCUAGGGUAGUAAACGGG
rnacentral:rRNA from 1 species